GCCUAACUGGCUAAGUCCAUAGAGCAUGUGACUCUUGAUCUUGGGGUUGUGAGUUCGAGCCCCACGUUGGGUA
rnacentral:tRNA from 1 species